GAUUUCAGUUCCUGCAUUCCUGCACAUGCUCAGUACAUUGAUGACAGUAUUUUAGCUACGUGUAACUAACUGAUACAACAUACACAUAUGCCACGUGGAAAUCUCGGCCUACUAAAUUUACAUUUCACCGAAAUUCCAUCACAUGUGAAUGUGGCAGUAUCAGGGUGUCUGUCGGUGAAUGUGUGUGUGUGCAUGUCUGUCACUGUGUGUCCGAGUGAGUGUGUGUCUGUCAGUGUAAGUUUGUGAGUGUCUGUAUCUGUUAGUGAGUGUGUGUCAGUAAAUGGGUGUGUCAGUGUGUCUG